rnacentral:rRNA from 1 species
ACUCCUACGGGAGGCAGCAGUGGGGAAUAUUGCACAAUGGGCGCAAGCCUGAUGCAGCCAUGCCGCGUGUAUGAAGAAGGCCUUCGGGGUUNUAAAGUACUUUCAGCAGUGAGGAAGGUGGAGUCGUUAAUAGCGGCCUCAUUUGACGUUAGCUGCAGAAGAAGCACCGGCUAACUCCGUGCACCAGGCCGCGGUAAUACGGAGGGUGCGANAGUUAAUCGGAAUUACUGGGCGUAAAGCGCAUGCAGGUGGUUUGUUAAGUCAGAUGUGAAAGCCCGGGGCUCAACCUCGGAAUUGCAUUUGAAACUGGCAGACUAGAGUACUGUAGAGGGGGGGUAGAAUUUCAGGUG